GUCUAUGGCCAUGCUACCCUGAACAAGUUCAAUCCUAUCUGAUCUCGGAAGCUAAGCAGACUCGGGCCUGGGUAGUACUUGGAUGGGAGACCAGGUGUUGUAGGCG
rnacentral:rRNA from 1 species